CUACGUUUGCUCAAAGCACUUUGUUGAAGGCAAAGCGACCCAAGACCACCCUGAUCCUCUGCAGCAUCACCUUGCAUUAUGAUCACCCAUCAUCUGUAAGGCGCCCACCACAGCUGCGAAGAAAGCCACAGCCCCCCAGCAAGAGUGCCACUAGGCUAGGCCUACUGAAACCAUAAGGGUCAUCAUGGAGCAUCAGGACCCUACUCCACACGCCCUGGACACUACUCUACACACCCUGGACACUACUCCACACGCCCUGGACACUACUCUACACACCCUGGACACUACUCCACACGCCCUGGACCCUACUCUACACACCCAGGAAGCUACUCCACACGCCCUAGACCCUACUCCACACACAGGACACUACUCCCCACACCCUGAACUGUGCUAUUUAAAGCUUUUGCCCGUUGCAUGAACACAUUUAGCAAAACUUCGCUCACUGUGCCAAAACUCUACACACAAUAAUAACGCAACACUAGAAAAUAUACCUUUCAUAUCUGUCAAAUUGAAACUCUCAGUAUGUAAACUCUGCUAUCAAAACCUAACAAUCCUUUGUCAAAAUAAAACUCUGGUGACAAAAUGAAACACACUUGCAUCAUAUGCAUAUACUUUCAGAUCAGGAGAAACCCACUAGUCUACUUUAUAUAAAACAUAUGUGCUUGAAUACAUUUUGCAAAACUUCGCUCAUUGUGCCACAACUCUACACACAAGUAAACAUCAAACAACACUGGGAAAUAUUAGCCUACUAUUCACAUCAGCAUUCACAAUGGCUAAACUGAGGGCUUUUUGUAGCUGGCUGAUUGGUGUUCAGUUUUGCAAGUAAGUGCCUUCAAGUGUGUAUAAAGGAGUAAGUGUGUUGCAGAAUUGCAACUAGAGUGCAAAGCAGCACUUUUGUUUAAGGUAUAGGUGCAUGUUUGAGAUAUGGCAACAACACUUCAAGUUGUGUUACUUUAGUUUAAGCAUGG